rnacentral:rRNA from 1 species
GAUGAACGCUGGCGGCGUGCCUAAUACAUGCAAGUCGAACGCAUUGAGAGAAGUGCUUGCACUUUUCAAUUUGAGUGGCGAACGGGUGAGUAACACGUGGGCAACCUACCUGAUAGCGGGGGAUAACGAGUGGAAACAUUCGCUAAUACCGCAUAACAAUAGAGAAGGCAUCUUCUUUAUUUAAAAGGCGCUUUCAAGCGUCACUAUCAGAUGGGCCCGCGGUGCAUUAGUUAGUUGGUGGGGUGAAGGCCUACCAAGACGAUGAUGCAUAGCCGAGUUGAGCGACGGAUCGGCCACAUUGGGACUGAGACACGGCCGAAACUCCGACGGGAGGCUGCAGUAGGGAAUCUUCCACAAUGGACGAAAGUCUGAUGGAGCAACGCCGCGUGUGUGAUGAAGGCUUUCGGGUCGUAAAGCACUGUUGUAUGGGAAGAAAUGCUAGGCUAGGAAAUGAGCUUAGUUUGACGGUACCAUACCAGAAAGGGACGGCUAAAUACGUGCCAGCCGCCGCCGUAA